rnacentral:rRNA from 1 species
CUUGCUAGGUGGAUUAGUGGCGCACGGGUGAGUAAUAUAUAGAUAACGUGCCUCUUAGUCUGGGAUAGCCAUUGGAAACGAUGAUUAAUACUAGAUAUUCCUUCUAACAAUAAUGUUAGUCGGGAAAGUUUUUCGCUAAGAGAUCGGUCUAUAUCCCAUCAGCUAGUUGGUAGUGUAAGAGACUACCAAGGCAAUGACGGGUAGCGGGUUUGAGAGGAUGAUCCGCCACACUGGUACUGAGACACGGACCAGACUCCUACGGGAGGCAGCAGUGAGGAAUAUCGCACAAUGGAGGAAACUCUGAUGCAGCAACGCCGCGUGGAGGAUGACGCAUUUCGGUGUGUAAACUCCUUUUAUAUGUCAAGAAAAUGACGGUAGCAUAUGAAUAAGCACCGGCUAACUCCGUGCCAGCAGCCGCGGUAAUACGGAGGGUGCAAGCGUUAUUCGGAAUCACUGGGCGUAAAGGACGCGUAGGCGGGAUGCCAAGUCUGAUGUGAAAU